rnacentral:lncRNA from 1 species
AGAUGGAAUGCCCAUCACUAUCUUGAACAUGUGUCGUUCCUUCUCUAUUUCUAGAUGCAAUCAGUUACGUGGCAAAAAUCAGAUUGAGACCUUCAAUCAAACUGAGGGCAGAGAAAUAUGUGUGCACCAGACAGGUAAAGGCUUCUUGCAUGCAUGACUUUGAGAGAGUCAAAUGUGAGAGGGCAUCCCAGAUGACCAAGUGACUGAACAAAAUCUGGCCUGCAAACCAGGAACAUGAAGGAGACUGCGAUCCAGAGGGCUCAGUGGACCAGACAGAAUGGGGCCAAGACAGUCAAAGAGCCAUUCCAGACUCUGAAAUCAGGAGGACUUCAAGAAUUAGGUGUUAGUCAGACUAGUGAUUGACUAGUGAUUGACUGCAAUGGAAAAGUAAUUGUUUGUCAACAAAAUAACACAAUUUUAAGUAGUAUGGUGCAGAGUCUCACAAGCAUUAGAAACAGCAGUGGGUGUGAAUACGGUGGGAACAUGUGGAUCUGAGCAAGUGUGAUGUCAUUAAGAUUGCUCAGGACUUCUACAUUUUAAACCUGGACUGCUUGUGGAAACUCACUGAUAACUGGAUCACAGUCUUCAAGGACAAAAAAACUUUGCUUCGCCAGUCCAGAGAGAAGCAGGCCCAAGAUUUUCUCUUCAAAGUGCAAGUAUUGUUUGAAAUGACCCUGCUGGUGGUGCCUCAGAUGCUCAGUUAUAAUCAAGUUAUUCACUAAACAUUCAUCUCUCCAGAUACACAAGGUGACGUCACUUGAAGACGUCACUUUAAGACUAUUAGUGGUCCUCCCAACACCAGUCUACAAGAUAGGCAGGAAGACAUUCCGACCCAGCUUCAAUGAGACCAGAAAGUCCUUCAUUGACUUGCAGCCUGUAAGUUUAAAUAGUGCAUAGGCAAAGGGAGAUUGAUGAGUAAAUUAGAUGAUGGCAUUUUGUAAACCUUGAAUGAAAGGAACACCAUUCCAAAAUCUGUAACGCAUAACUGCACACUCCAAGACAUUAGGAAGGUUUCCAUCCCAUUUGCGACAGAUUUUCAUGCGAAUAUUCUCAAAUCUGCAUUAAACAAUAUGCACAUUUUCUCACCGGAGAUGUUUCCAGCAAACAGACUUUUUGUGGAUAAAAGACUGUGUGAUGACAUAGUGCACGUAAAUUACUUUUGCCGUUAAAUGUACCAAAUAAAAAGAUGCAAGUGAAAUGGAUUUCCAUCGCAUUUUCAACUGUACUGAUGGUUUUGUGACAAACUGUUGCAUACAAACCCUGAAAUUUCCAUCCCUAACUAUAACAUUUUCCGACAAGAUAUAACUGCCAAAGGGGGCGGGGUUGCAAUCUACUACAGAGAUAGCCUGCAGAGUUCUGUCUUACUAUCCAAGUCUGUACCCAAACAAUUUGAGCUUCUACUUUUAAAAAUCCACCUUUCCAGAAACAAGUCUCUCACCGUUGCCGCUUGCUAUAGACCACCCUCUGCCCCCAGCUGUGCCCCGGACACCAUAUGUGAAUUGAUUGCCCCCCAUCUAUCUUCAGAGCUCGUGCUGCUAGGUGACGUAAACUGGGACAUGCUUAACACCCCGGCCAUCCUACAAUCUAAGCUAGAUGCCCUCAAUCUCACACAAAUGAUCAAGGAACCCACCAGGUACAACCCCAAAUCCGUAAACACGGGCACCCUCAUAGAUAUCAUCCUAACCAACUUGCCCUCCAAAUACACCUCUGCUGUUUUCAACCAAGAUCUCAGCGAUCACUGCCUCAUUGCCUGCAUCCGUAAUGGUUCUGCAGUCAAACGACCAAAUCAAAUUUAUUUAUAUAGCCCUUCGUACAUCAGCUGAUAUCUCAAAGUGCUGUACAGAAACCCAGCCUAAAACCC